ACUUAAAUUGAAGAGUUUGAUCAUGGCUCAGAUUGAACGCUGGCGGCAGGCCUAACACAUGCAAGUCGAGCGGUAGCACAGAGAGCUUGCUCUCGGGUGACGAGCGGCGGACGGGUGAGUAAUGUCUGGGAAACUGCCUGAUGGAGGGGGAUAACUACUGGAAACGGUAGCUAAUACCGCAUAACGUCGCAAGACCAAAGUGGGGGACCUUCGGGCCUCAUGCCAUCAGAUGUGCCCAGAUGGGAUUAGCUAGUAGGUGGGGUAACGGCUCACCUAGGCGACGAUCCCUAGCUGGUCUGAGAGGAUGACCAGCCACACUGGAACUGAGACACGGUCCAGACUCCUACGGGAGGCAGCAGUGGGGAAUAUUGCACAAUGGGCGCAAGCCUGAUGCAGCCAUGCCGCGUGUGUGAAGAAGGCCUUCGGGUUGUAAAGCACUUUCAGCGGGGAGGAAGGCGGUGAGGUUAAUAACCUCAUCGAUUGACGUUACCCGCAGAAGAAGCACCGGCUAACUCCGUGCCAGCAGCCGCGGUAAUACGGAGGGUGCAAGCGUUAAUCGGAAUUACUGGGCGUAAAGCGCACGCAGGCGGUCUGUCAAGUCGGAUGUGAAAUCCCCGGGCUUAACCUGGGAACUGCAUUCGAAACUGGCAGGCUAGAGUCUUGUAGAGGGGGUAGAAUUCCAGGUGUAGCGGUGAAAUGCGUAGAGAUCUGGAGGAAUACCGGUGGCGAAGGCGGCCCCCUGGACAAAGACUGACGCUCAGGUGCGAAAGCGUGGGGAGCAAACAGGAUUAGAUACCCUGGUAGUCCACGCCGUAAACGAUGUCGAUUUGGAGGUUGUGCCCUUGAGGCGUGGCUUCCGGAGCUAACGCGUUAAAUCGACCGCCUGGGGAGUACGGCCGCAAGGUUAAAACUCAAAUGAAUUGACGGGGGCCCGCACAAGCGGUGGAGCAUGUGGUUUAAUUCGAUGCAACGCGAAGAACCUUACCUGGUCUUGACAUCCACAGAACUUUCCAGAGAUGGAUUGGUGCCUUCGGGAACUGUGAGACAGGUGCUGCAUGGCUGUCGUCAGCUCGUGUUGUGAAAUGUUGGGUUAAGUCCCGCAACGAGCGCAACCCUUAUCCUUUGUUGCCAGCGGUCCGGCCGGGAACUCAAAGGAGACUGCCAGUGAUAAACUGGAGGAAGGUGGGGAUGACGUCAAGUCAUCAUGGCCCUUACGACCAGGGCUACACACGUGCUACAAUGGCAUAUACAAAGAGAAGCGACCUCGCGAGAGCAAGCGGACCUCAUAAAGUAUGUCGUAGUCCGGAUUGGAGUCUGCAACUCGACUCCAUGAAGUCGGAAUCGCUAGUAAUCGUAGAUCAGAAUGCUACGGUGAAUACGUUCCCGGGCCUUGUACACACCGCCCGUCACACCAUGGGAGUGGGUUGCAAAAGAAGUAGGUAGCUUAACCUUCGGGAGGGCGCUUACCACUUUGUGAUUCAUGACUGGGGUGAAGUCGUAACAAGGUAACCGUAGGGGAACCUGCGGUUGGAUCACCUCCUUACCUUAAAGAA
rnacentral:rRNA from 1 species